rnacentral:rRNA from 1 species
AGUGGCGCACGGGUGCGUAACGCGUAUGCAACCUACCUUAUACUAAGGGAUAGCCCGGGGAAACCCGGAUUAAUACCUUAUGGUAUUAUUUGAUGGCAUCAUUGAAUAAUUAAAGAUUUAUUGGUAUAAGAUGGGCAUGCGUAGGAUUAGCUAGUUGGUAAGGUAACGGCUUACCAAGGCGACGAUCCUUAGGGGUUCUGAGAGGAAGGUCCCCCACACUGGUACUGAGAUACGGACCAGACUCCUACGGGAGGCAGCAGUAGGGAAUAUUGGGCAAUGGACGGAAGUCUGACCCAGCCAUGCCGCGUGCAGGAAGAAGGCGUUAUGCGUUGUAAACUGCUUUUAUACGGGAAGAAAAGGCCCAUGCGUGGGACAUUGCCGGUACCGUAUGAAUAAGCACCGGCUAACUCCGUGCCAGCAGCCGCGGUAAUACGGAGGGUGCAAGCGUUGUCCGGAUUUAUUGGGUUUAAAGGGUGCGUAGGCGGGCGAUUUAAGUCAGUGGUGAAAGUUUUGGGCUCAACUCAGAAAUUGCCAUUGAUACUG